GUUUGAUCAUGGCUCAGAUUGAACGCUGGCGGCAUGCCUUACACAUGCAAGUCGAACGGUAACGCGGGGCAACCUGGCGACGAGUGGCGAACGGGUGAGUAAAGCAUCGGAACGUGCCCAGUAGUGGGGGAUAGCCCGGCGAAAGCCGGAUUAAUACCGCAUACGACCUAUGGGUGAAAGCGGGGGAUCGCAAGACCUCGCGCUAUUGGAGCGACCGAUGUCAGAUUAGGUAGUUGGUGGGGUAAAGGCCCACCAAGCCGACGAUCUGUAGCUGGUCUGAGAGGACGACCAGCCACACUGGGACUGAGACACGGCCCAGACUCCUACGGGAGGCAGCAGUGGGGAAUUUUGGACAAUGGGCGCAAGCCUGAUCCAGCCAUGCCGCGUGCGGGAAGAAGGCCUUCGGGUUGUAAACCGCUUUUGUCAGGGAAGAAAUCCCUUGAGUUAAUACCUCGGGGGGAUGACGGUACCUGAAGAAUAAGCACCGGCUAACUACGUUCCAGCAGCCGCGGUAAUACGUAGGGUGCGAGCGUUAAUCGGAAUUACUGGGCGUUAAACGUGCGCAGGCGGUUGUGCAAGACAGGUGUGAAAUCCCCCGGGCUUAACCUGGGAACUGCACUU
rnacentral:rRNA from 1 species